rnacentral:tRNA from 1 species
GCUCUCAUAGUUAAAUGGAUAGAAUAACCCCCUCCUAAGGGGUAGAUGUAGGUUCGAUUCCUACUGGGAGUACCA